rnacentral:rRNA from 1 species
AUUGAACGCUGGCGGCAUGCCUUACACAUGCAAGUCGAACGGCAGCACGGGAGCAAUCCUGGUGGCGAGUGGCGAACGGGUGAGUAAUACAUCGGAACGUGCCCAGUCGUGGGGGAUAACGUAGCGAAAGCUACGCUAAUACCGCAUACGAUCUGUGGAUGAAAGCGGGGGACCGUAAGGCCUCGCGCGAUUGGAGCGGCCGAUGUCAGAUUAGGUAGUUGGUGGGGUAAAGGCCCACCAAGCCGACGAUCUGUAGCUGGUCUGAGAGGACGACCAGCCACACUGGGACUGAGACACGGCCCAGACUCCUACGGGAGGCAGCAGUGGGGAAUUUUGGACAAUGGGCGCAAGCCUGAUCCAGUAAUGCCGCGUGCAGGAUGAAGGCC